UUAAGUUCAGCGGGUAUUCCUACCUGAUCUGAGGUCAACCUUGAGAAAGUUGGGGGGUUUUACGGCAGGAUCCGCGCCGCUCUCCGACCCGCGAGGUGAGUUACUACUACGCAGAGGAGGCUACGGCGCGGUCGCCACUGUAUUUGGGAGCCGCCACCCACGAGGGGCGGCCGAUCUCCAACACCGCCCCCGGCCGCGCG
rnacentral:misc_RNA from 1 species